GUCAUCGUUUUGUGUCAUCUUCGAAACAAAAUCCCUGGUAUAUUUUCUUCGAACAAUCUAGUUUGUGUCGUAUUCAGAACCGUCAAUGAAACCAUGUCUCUGUUCCUAUACCCAGUUGAAUACUAUAUCUGAUCCAAAAAUUACAAACUCCCAAUUUUGCAAUUCUUCGAUGAUUGAAGUAAGAGAUGUCUUAGUCAAAUAGAUUCAUUGAAGAAUGGAUCCGAUCCUAGUUUUCGGUUGAUACAACAUACGACCUCCUUGCCAAUUCCAUUAAUCGGGUUUAUGAUUUUAAGCAUCCGAUUGGUAAAAGAGUAUCAUAUAAUGGAGAAGAAGACAUCUAAAAAGAACACCUAAUUAUAUAUGUAAGGCACAAUCAGUCUCUGAAACUUGGAUAUCUGUUGCUUCUUGACUGUAGCGUGGAUCAAAGUUCCCUACCGAGAAAACAAAGGAUCCAGCUAGGACCAUUUCAAUGGUCUCACCGGAGUAAGUGGUAUACUGCUGCCAGCUAUGGACGAUUUAGACCUGGAUUCUCCAGCAAGUCUUGAAUGGCUUGAUGGAUGCUAGAUUAGUUAUUGCAAGAUUUGCUGCCAUUUUGAAAGCGAUUCCUGCAGAAGGUUGGUGAGAUAUGAUCUUCAGUUGUAAACGGGUGACCCAUCUUUUUAAUUCGGUUUUUUUCUCACCCUGAUCCGUUUCUUUAAUUUCGGGUUGUUUUCACUUAAUUGACCCGACCCAUGUUCGAUUUUGUACUUCUCUUUUACUUAUAUAGGGAUAAAGAUGAUUUGUAGGUGUAGUAGUUUACAUCAAAUACUGGUUAUUCGUAUUUGACCCGUUUCAAAAAUAAGGGUAACAAUGACUUUAAAGUCGGGUACAUUAUCGAGUACUGAUUUUCUUA